UGAUUAUGAAAACUACAAGAGACACCGUGACGUAGUUCAAACUUCAAACCGUACAGAAAGCCAACUCCAACUUGAUGAGCCCUAUUCCCAUUCGCUGUCGUGCCUCUCUCUCUCUCACUCUGUGCUUCAUUUUUUUGAAAUGUAGCCAUUAAUCUCUCUCGCUCUUUACAUUCCUCUCCCGUUUGGUUGCCAAGAAAAAGUUGAGCGCGCACACACGCGCACUCUGGUUUUUUUUCCCCCUCGUUUCAAAGGAAUCAAUUUAAGAACCCAAAGCCCAAUCUUUUAUAGACUUACGAGGGAGAAAAAAUAAACCCCUUUCCAUUCCAACAUUUUCUCUUAUGCGUUCUUUAUGAUGUAAUAAUUGUGUAUAAGUAAGAAAUAUUGUGUGGAAUUCUUUGUUAAUUUGAGCUUUUUUGUUUUGUGACCGAUGCAGCCAUUUUUAGAAAGCAUUCUGGAUAUGGAUGACCAUUCUAGCUCGAGUUCGAAGCAGGCAUGGCUCUGGGUCAUUGAGUGCCUAGCAAGCUUCAACGUAUUAGAUCCCUCUGAUAUCAAUGAUUUGGUUGAGGCGUCUCCAAUAUCGCCUGAGGAUUUGGAACUAGCACGAGGGAAAUGAUUGCUUUGAGAUGCUUGGAGCUCUACUUUGGUACUGAUAAUGAAGUUGCAAAUGAUGUUCCUUCCGUGACUAGGCCAAGACGUGCAUUUGACUUCUCUGAGAGUUGUGAAGUUGUGCUUGAUAUCAUAACGAAAGAGCUUAUCCAGAUCCAUCGAAAUGGGAUAUUCAGCCUUUCAUUGCUCAUAAACGAGCCUCGAGGCCAAAAUGCACUUUAGAAAAGCUCAAAGAUGCAAUUCUCGAUGGUACCCAUCCAUAUGCUGCUUCCUUGGCAGAACUUGGGGGAUUGGUGCGUAUAAAUGAUGAGAAUGAUAGAAUCACUGUGGAUUCUGUUCGUCAUAAUGAGCUUAUGCAGAGGAUUGAUGGUGUUGGUGAUGGCAUCAGAAGCAGAGGGGAGAACCGUUUCUUUACCUCUUGAAAAUAAGAAUGGAAUGAUGGAAGGGUUCCACACCAAGGUUUCAUGAGAAGGGAAACCUGUUUUGUGCAUGUUUUCAUGCUAUCUCAGAGUACACAAGGACUGGGGGAUUUGGAAUUUGGGUGUGUUCCCUGAAAGACAUCUUUGGCAACAGUUAAGUCACUAUCUCUCUGGAUAUUUUGGUGGUAGGUCAGAACUAAUUCCAUCCUCUCUUUUUGUUAUGUAAGUAGUCAUUUUAGAACCUUAUAACUAGGGUGUGAUUCUGUUGACAACAGGAUGGUGUUUUGACUGGUAGUGGUGCAUUAGUGGUGUGGGAAUUGUCAUGUUUAUGAUUAUCAUUAUUGUAAACUUUGCCCAUUAUCUCUAUCCUUUAUUAACCAAAUCUUAACCGUUGUUCUUGGUUUUGAAUCAUUGGCAAACUAGGGGUGACCUUAGUUUAGUUUUAGUUAAAAAAGUCAAUCCAAAUUAGUGAAAUUUGUUUUUUUUGGUUUGGUUAUUCAGUUUGGUUUUAUGAUAAGGUUGAUUAUUUUGGUUUGAUUCAAUGGUGAAAACUAAUAAUCUACUAUAAUCGAACUACUCAAUGCCUAUACACGCAGUUUCAAAUUCUUUUCACAUCUCAGUUAUCUGAAUCUCCAACAUGUUCUGUCUUCAAUUUCUUAAAUGGAAAACCUUAUUCCAAUCCCCUCUCUGUGGCUGACCGUGUCUCUCCCCUCCUGAUCCACUCUGGUUUUCUUUGCUCAUGCUGCACCUUGCUCGCCCCACCCAAUCACCCACCCUUUUGGUUCUCCCUAGCAGUGCUUUCCCCACCUCGUCACCACUUCUUGUUAGGAUGCUUUCCCUUGUUCUCAUCUCAGAGUUGCUGCUUGCUCUUCCACAAUUGUUUCAAUUGGUCAUCUCUUCCAUUUCUUUUGUUACCUCCCUCUUGACAAAUUAAGACUUACUUGCUAGUUUGUUUUGACGAGCUUGAGACCAUACUUCAGCCAAUUUAUGCUUUUCUUUCCAUGUAAAUUGUAAUCUUGAAACUACUGGUACUGCAAUUCUGUUGUUGUCAUCCUC